CUGGGUGUGGCCCCAAGCCAAACAAAGUCAGUUUAAAAAGAAAAUCAUAAACCUUCCCUGUAAUAAGACCAUGCACGUGUUCCCAGGCCUUGUCUUUUACCUACCUAGGUCUGGUCUUAGAAAUGCUGGUGAGGGGC
ensembl:snoRNA SNORA72 Small nucleolar RNA SNORA72